rnacentral:rRNA from 1 species
GACGAACGCUGGCGGCGUGCCUAAUACAUGCAAGUCGAACGCAGUGGGGACGGGUGAGUAACACGUGGGUAACCUCCCAUCAGAGGGGAUAACACUUGGAAACAGGUGCUAAACCGAUACUGAUGGAUGGACCCGCGGUGCAUUAGCUAGUUGGUGAGGUAACGGCUCACCAAGGCCACGAUGCAUAGCCGACCUGAUAGGGGUGUCCUCCCCACUGGGACUGAGACACGGCCCAGACUCCACCACAACCACUACAUACCAAAUCUUCGGCAAUGUACGAAAGUCUGACCCAGCAACGCCGCGUGAGUGAAGAAUUUUUUCGGAUCUUAAAACUCUGUUGUUAGAGAAGCGGUAUCUAACCAGAAAGCCACGGCUAACUACGUGCCAGCAGCCGCGGUAAUAC